GUGGGGAAUAUUGCACAAUGGGCGGAAGCCUGAUGCAGCAACGCCGCGUGCGGGAUGACGGCCUUCGGGUUGUAAACCGCUUUCACCCAUGACGAAGCGCGAGUGACGGUAGUGGGGGAAGAAGCACCGGCCAACUACGUGCCAGCAGCCGCGGUGAUACGUAGGGUGCGAGCGUUGUCCGGAAUUAUUGGGCGUAAAGAGCUUGUAGGCGGUUGAUCGCGUCGAUAGUGAAAUCCCGGGGCUCAACCUCGGGCUUGCUGUCGAUACGGGUUGACUUGAGGAAGGUAGGGGAGAAUGGAACUCCCGGUGGAGCGGUGGAAUGCGCAGAUAUCGGGAAGAACACCGGUGGCGAAGGCGGUUCUCUGGACCUUUCCUGACGCUGAGAAGCGAAAGCGUGGGGAGCAAACAGGCUUAGAAACCCCAGUAGUCC
rnacentral:rRNA from 1 species